rnacentral:rRNA from 1 species
GACGAACGCUGGCGGUGUGCUUAACACAUGCAAGUCGAGCGGUAAGGCCCCUUCGGGGGUACACGAGUGGCGAACGGGUGAGUAACACGUGGGUGACCUGCCCUCAUCUCUGGGAUAACCCUGGGAAACUGUUUCUAAUACCGGAUAUGACCUUUCAUCGCAUGGGGUGUGGUGGAAAGUUUUUUUGGCUGGGGGUGUGGACUCGGCCCAUCACCGUGUUGUUGGGGUGAUGGGAUUCACAGGCGCUGACGGGGAGCCCGGCUGAGAGGGCGACCGGCGAGACUGAGACUGAGACCCGGCCCAGACGGGUGCGAGAGGCAGCGGUGAGGGAUAUUGCGCAGGGAGCGGAAUCCUGAAGCAGCGAGGCCGCGUGGAGGGUGACGGCGUUCGAGUUGUAAACCUAUUGCGACGCCGACGAAUUGGGACGGUAGGGGUAGAAGAAGCACCGGCUAACUACGUG